UAGGGAAUCUUCCGCAAUGGGCGAAAGCCUGACGGAGCAACGCCGCGUGAGUGAUGAAGGUCUUCGGAUCGUAAAACUCUGUUAUUAGGGAAGAACAAAUGUGUAAGUAACUAUGCACGUCUUGACGGUACCUAAUCAGAAAAGCACGGCUAACUACGUGCCAGCAGCCGCGGUAAUACGUAGGUGGCAAGCGUUAUCCGGAAUUAUUGGGCGUAAAGCGCGCGUAGGCGGUUUUUUAAGUCUGAUGUGAAAGCCCACGGCUCAACCGUGGAGGGUCAUUGGAAACUGGAAAACUUGAGUGCAGAAGAGGAAAGUGGAAUUCCAUGUGUAGCGGUGAAAUGCGCAGAGAUAUGGAGGAACACCAGUGGCGAAGGCGACUUUCUGGUCUGUAACUGACGCUGAUGUGCGAAAGCGUGGGGAUCAAACAGG
rnacentral:rRNA from 1 species